rnacentral:rRNA from 1 species
UUGGAGGGCAAGUCUGGUGCCAGCAGCCGCGGUAAUUCCAGCUCCAAUAGCGUAUAUUAAAGUUGUUGCAGUUAAAAAGCUCGUAGUUGAAUUUCGGGAUUGACGUGAUGGUCAUGCCUUAAGGGGUAUGAACUGUUACUGUUGAUUUCUCACCUUCUGGAGAAACUUGAUGUCCUUUAUUGGGUGUCUUGCGGAUCCAGGACCUUUACCUUGAAAAAAUUAGAGUGUUUAAAGCAGGCAUUUUUGCUCGAAUACAUUAGCAUGGAAUAAUAGAAUAGGACGGCAUGGUUCUAUUUUGUUGGUUUCUAGGAUCACCGUAAUGAUUAAUAGGGAUAGUUGGGGGCAUUAGUAUUCAAUUGUCAGAGGUGAAAUUCUUGGAUUUAUUGAGGACUAACUACUGCGAAAGCAUUUACCAAGGAUGUUUUCAUUAAUCAAGAACGAAAGUUAGGGGAUCGAAGACGAUCAGAUACCGUCGUAGUCUUAACCAUAAACUAUGCCGACUAGGAGUCAGACGAUGUUAAUUUUUUAAUGACUCGUUUGGCACCUUACGGGAAACCAAAGUGUUUGGGUUC